CUUGGCCCUUGGCCUCGGUGUGGAUCCAAGAUCGAAGGUGCCGUCAUCGUCGCUCGCCAAGGCGGCCAAGGCCACCCAGUGGCGGCGCCAGGAUAAAUGCUAGUGGGUUUCCCAGAGUACUGGAUUUGUGCGAUUUGUGCGGAGGCUCGUACAUCCCUUUGAUGAUGGAGGGCACCGAUUUCUACCCUAACGAUGACGAAGACCUGAGCCGCAAGAACAAAUUUAAGACCUGGCACGGCAAGAUCGAAGACGCAUGUCCUGGUCUUUAUGGCAAGGCAUGAUUGAAAUUUGCUAUGAUCCUUCUCUCCGGUGUUUACUUCAGUUUUUAAUGUUUCGGACUAGCUGUUUUUUUUAUAUCAAGUUUGAUACUACC